rnacentral:rRNA from 1 species
GAUGAACGCUGGCGGCGUGCCUAAUACAUGCAAGUCGAGCGAACAGACGAGGAGCUUGCUCCUCUGACGUUAGCGGCGGACGGGUGAGUAACACGUGGAUAACCUACCUAUAAGACUGGGAUAACUUCGGGAAACCGGAGCUAAUACCGGAUAAUAUAUUGAACCGCAUGGUUCAAUAGUGAAAGACGGUUUUGCUGGCACUUAUAGAUGGAUCCGCUCCGCAUUAGCUAGUUGGUAAGGUAACGGCUUACCAAGGCAACGAUGCGUAGCCGACCUGAGAGGGUGUUCGGCCACACUGGAACUGAGACACGGUCCAGACUCCUACGGGAGGCAGCAGUAGGAAAUCUUCCGCAAUGGGCGAAAGCCUGACGGAGCAACGCCGCGUGAGUGAUGAAGGUCUUCGGAUCGUAAACCUCUGUUAUUAGGGAAGAACAAAUGUGUAAGUAACUAUGCACGUCUUGACGGUACCUAAUCAGAAAGCCACGGCUAACUACGU